GACGAACGCUGGCGGCGUGCCUAACACAUGCAAGUCGAACGCUGAAGGAGGACUUUGCUUCUCUGGACGAGUUGCGAACGGGUGAGUAACGCGUAGGUAACCUGCCUGGUAGCGGGGGAUAACUACUGGAAACGAUAGCUAAUACCGCAUAAGAGUUGCUGUCGCAUGACAUUUGUUGGAAAGUUGCAGUUGCAUCGCUACCAGAUGGGCCUGCGUUGUUUUUGGUUGUUGGUGCGGGAACGGCUCUCCUAGGCAACGAUACAUAGCCGACGUGGGAGGGCGGGUGGCCAGCCUGGGAGUGUGACACGGCCCAGAGCGCCUGGGGGAGGGGCAGGAGGGGAACUUGGGACAGGGGUGGAAGACUGAGCGAAAAGGGCCGCGGGAGGGAAGAAGGGUGUCGGGUCGGAAAGGUCUGUUGUCGGGGAAGAAAGAGUGUGAGAGUGGGACGUUGAGACUGUGACGGUAACUUAUCAAAAAGCACCGGCUAACUACGUG
rnacentral:rRNA from 1 species